rnacentral:rRNA from 1 species
AUGGCUCAGGAUGAACGCUAGCUACAGGCUUAACACAUGCAAGUCGAGGGGCAGCAUGGUCUUAGCUUGCUAAGGCCGAUGGCGACCGGCGCACGGGUGAGUAACACGUAUCCAACCUGCCGUCUACUCUUGGACAGCCUUCUGAAAGGAAGAUUAAUACAAGAUGGCAUCAUGAGUCCGCAUGUUCACAUGAUUAAAGGUAUUCCGGUAGACGAUGGGGAUGCGUUCCAUUAGAUAGUAGGCGGGGUAACGGCCCACCUAGUCUUCGAUGGAUAGGGGUUCUGAGAGGAAGGUCCCCCACAUUGGAACUGAGACACGGUCCAAACUCCUACGGGAGGCAGCAGUGAGGAAUAUUGGUCAAUGGGCGAGAGCCUGAACCAGCCAAGUAGCGUGAAGGAUGACUGCCCUAUGGGUUGUAAACUUCUUUUAUAAAGGAAUAAAGUCGGGUAUGGAUACCCGUUUGCAUGUACUUUAUGAAUAAGGAUCGGCUAACUCCGUGCCAGCAGCCGCGGUAAUACGGAGGAUCCGAGCGUUAUCCGGAUUUAUUGGGUUUAAAGGGAGCGUAGAUGGAUGUUUAAGUCAGUUGUGAAAGUUUGCGGCUCAACCGUAAAAUUGCAGUUGAUACUGGAUAUCUUGAGUGCAGUUGAGGCAGGCGGAAUUCGUGGUGUAGCGGUGAAAUGCUUAGAUAUCACGAAGAACUCCGAUUGCGAAGGCAGCCUGCUAAGCUGCAACUGACAUUGAGGCUCGAAAGUGUGGGUAUCAAACAGGAUUAGAUACCCUGGUAGUCCACACGGUAAACGAUGAAUACUCGCUGUUUGCGAUAUACUGCAAGCGGCCAAGCGAAAGCGUUAAGUAUUCCACCUGGGGAGUACGCCGGCAACGGUGAAACUCAAAGGAAUUGACGGGGGCCCGCACAAGCGGAGGAACAUGUGGUUUAAUUCGAUGAUACGCGAGGAACCUUACCCGGGCUUAAAUUGCAGAUGAAUUACGGUGAAAGCCGUAAGCCGCAAGGCAUCUGUGAAGGUGCUGCAUGGUUGUCGUCAGCUCGUGCCGUGAGGUGUCGGCUUAAGUGCCAUAACGAGCGCAACCCUUGUUGUCAGUUACUAACAGGUUCCGCUGAGGACUCUGACAAGACUGCCAUCGUAAGAUGUGAGGAAGGUGGGGAUGACGUCAAAUCAGCACGGCCCUUACGUCCGGGGCUACACACGUGUUACAAUGGGGGGUACAGAGGGCCGCUACCACGCGAGUGGAUGCCAAUCCCAAAAACCUCUCUCAGUUCGGACUGGAGUCUGCAACCCGACUCCACGAAGCUGGAUUCGCUAGUAAUCGCGCAUCAGCCACGGCGCGGUGAAUACGUUCCCGGGCCUUGUACACACCGCCCGUCAAGCCAUGGGAGCCGGGGGUACCUGAAGUGCGUAACCGCGAGGAGCGCCCUAGGGUAAAA